rnacentral:rRNA from 1 species
GACGAACGCUGGCGGCGUGCCUAAUACAUGCAAGUUGAGCGCUGAAGGUUGGUACUUGUACCAACUGGAUGAGCAGCGAACGGGUGAGUAACGCGUGGGGAAGCUGCCUGUGAGCGGGGGACAACAUUUGGAAACGAAUGCUAAUACCGCAUAAAAACUUUAAACACAAGUUUUAAGUUUGAAGGAUGCAAUUGCAUCACUCAAAGAUGAUCCCGCGUUGUAUUAGCUAGUUGGUGAGGUAAAGGCUCACCAAGGCGAUGAUACAUAGCCGACCUGAGAGGGUGCACGGCCAAAUUGGGACUGAGACACGGCCCAAACUCCUACGGGAGGCAGCAGUAGGGAAUCUUCGGCAAUGGACGAAAGUCUGACCGCGCAACGCCGCGUGAGUGAAGAAGGUUUUCGGAUCGUAAAACUCUGUUGGUAGAGAAGAACGUUGGUGAGAGUGGAAAGCUCAUCAAGUGACGGUAACUACCCAGAAAGGGACGGCUAACUACGUG